rnacentral:rRNA from 1 species
AUUGAACGCUGGCGGCAGGCCUAACACAUGCAAGUCGAGCGAGCAGCGGACGGGUGAGUAAUGUAUGGGGACUGCCCGAUAGAGGGGGAUAACUACGGGAAACGGUAGCUAAUACCGCAUACUAUCGGAUAACCCAUAUGGGAUUAGCUAGUAGGUGAGGUAAUGGCUCACCUAGGCGACGAUCCCUAGCUGGUCUGAGAGGAUGAUCCGCCACACUGGGACUGAGACACGGCCCAGACUCCUACGGAGGCAGCAGUGGGGAAUAUUGCACAAUGGACGAAAGUCUGAUGCAGCCAUGCCGCGUGUAUGAAGAAGGCCCUAGGAUUGUAAAGUACUUUCAGUCGGGAGGCGUUACCGACAGAGGAAGCACCGGCUAACUACGUGCCAGCAGCCGCGGUAAUAC